UACGAAGGGUGCUAGCGUUGUUCGGAAUUACUGGGCGUAAAGGGCGCGUAGGCGGUUAUAUAAGUCAGAUGUGAAAGCCCCGAGCUUAACUUGGGAACAGCAUUUGAUACUGUGUGACUAGAGUGUGAGAGAGGAAAGUGGAAUUGCGAGUGUAGAGGUGAAAUUCGUAGAUAUUCGCAAGAACACCAGUGGCGAAGGCGACUUUCUGGCUCACAACUGACGCUAAGGCGCGAAAGCGUGGGGAGCAAACAGG
rnacentral:rRNA from 1 species